rnacentral:rRNA from 1 species
UGGGGAAUAUUGCACAAUGGGCGCAAGCCUGAUGCAGCCAUGCCGCGUGUGUGAAGAAGGCCUUCGGGUUGUAAAGCACUUUCAGCGAGGAGGAAGGUGGUGAGCUUAAUACGCUCAUCAAUUGACGUUACUCGCAGAAGAAGCACCGGCUAACUCCGUGCCAGCAGCCGCGGUAAUACGGAGGGUGCAAGCGUUAAUCGGAAUUACUGGGCGUAAAGCGCACGCAGGCGGUUUGUUAAGUCAGAUGUGAAAUCCCCGGGCUCAACCUGGGAACUGCAUUUGAAACUGGCAAGCUAGAGUCUCGUAGAGGGGGGUAGAAUUCCAGGUGUAGCGGUGAAAUGCGUAGAGAUCUGGAGGAAUACCGGUGGCGAAGGCGGCCCCCCUGGACGAAGACUGACGCUCAGGUGCGAAAGCGUGGGGCAGCAAACAGGAUUAGAUACCCUGGUAGUCCACGCUGUAAACGAUGUCGAUUUGGAGGUUGUGCCCUUGAGGCGUGGCUUCCGGAGCUAACGCGUUAAAUCGACCGCCUGGGGAGUACGGCCGCAAGGUUAAAACUUAAAUGAAUUGAC